rnacentral:tmRNA from 1 species
CGCCUUCAAAAUGCCCGGCGAAAGGCCUAUAUUGGCGAUGUCGGGAAACCGACUAUGGCGAUAAACGCCGCGUGGCAUAAGCGUUUCGGACCCGGGGGCGGUACCCGGCGCCUCCACCAUUCCUCGCACCGGUCCGCCGGCGCGAUCGAGGGGGCGAAAUAGGAUCGACGAGCGUGGUAAAGGCGCGGUUUUUGCUCGGUAUGGUUCCGCCGUGACGGGCCACACACAAGUGCCAACGAUAACGACGUUGCACUCGCUGCUGCCGCCUAACAAGCGGACGUAAGCGCGGUUUCGGGAGGGCACCGGGCAACAGAAGCCCUCCCACU